rnacentral:rRNA from 1 species
AGAGUUUGAUCCUGGCUCAGGAUAAACGCUGGCGGCGUGCCUAACACAUGCAAGUCGAACGCCCUGGGGUAACUCAGGGAGUGGCGGACGGGUGAGGAACACGUGGGUCAUCUACCUUGAGGUGAGGAAUACCGGCGAGAAAUCGCCGACAAUACCGCAUAGGUUUGGGAACAAACAAAGCCUCGGAAACGAGGUGCCUU